GAUGAAGAACGUAGCGAAAUGCGAUAAGUAGUGUGAAUUGCAGAAUUCAGUGAAUCAUCGAAUCUUUGAACGCACAUUGCGCCCCUUGGUAUUCCAUGGGGCAUGCCUGUUCGAGCGUCAUUUGUACCCUCAAGCUUUGCUUGGUGUUGGGCGUCUUGUCGUAUUACGACUCGCCUUAAAUACAUUGGCAGCCGGCACUUUGGCCUAGGAGCGCAGCACAUUUUGCGAUCGUAGCCCGUUGUACUGGCGUCCAUCAAGAACAUUUACCACGUUUGACCUCGGAUCAGGUAGGGAUACCCGCUGAACUUAAGCAUAUCAAAAGCGGAGGA
rnacentral:misc_RNA from 1 species